rnacentral:rRNA from 1 species
AUUGAACGCUGGCGGCAUGCCUUACACAUGCAAGUCGAACGGCAGCACGGGGCAACCUGGUGGCGAGUGGCGAACGGGUGAGUAAUGCAUCGGAACGUGCCAUUGAGUGGGGGAUAACGUAGCGAAAGUUGCGCUAAUACCGCAUAUUCUGUGAGCAGGAAAGCAGGGGACCGCAAGGCCUUGCGCUCUUUGAGCGGCCGAUGUCAGAUUAGCUAGUUGGUGAGGUAACGGCUUACCAAGGCGACGAUCUGUAGCGGGUCUGAGAGGAUGAUCCGCCACACUGGAACUGAGACACGGUCCAGACUCCUACGGGAGGCAGCAGUGGGGAAUUUUGGGACAAUGGGCGCAAGCCUGAUCCAGCCAUGCCGCGUGAGUGAAGAAGGCCU